rnacentral:tRNA from 1 species
GCGGGUGUAGCUCAGUGGUAGAGUUCCAGCCUUCCAAGCUGGCUACGCGGGUUCGAUUCCCGUCACCCGCUCCA